rnacentral:rRNA from 1 species
UUUUUUGUGGAGAGUUUGAUCCUGGCUCAGGACGAACGCUGGCGGCGUGCUUAACACAUGCAAGUCGAACGGAAA